CACCCAACAGCUAGCCCACCAGCACAACAACAACCAACCACUAUUUAUACCCCUACAUACACAAUAAAUUAUAAUAAUUAAACCAUUCUUCCCCUUAAGUAUAGGAGAUAGAAAAAGGCAUAUGGAGCCAUAGAGAAAGUACCGCAAGGGAUUGCUGAAAGAGUAAUGAAAUAAUCCAGUAAAGUUUUAAGAAGCAGAGAUAGUACCUCGUACCUUUUGCAUCAUGAUUUAGCUAGUGAACCACAAGCAAAGAGUACUUUAGUUUGAUUCCCCGAAACCAGGGGAGCUACUCCAAGACAGCCUGUAUAUAGGGCGAACCCGUCUCUGUGGCAAAAGAGUGGGACGAGCUUUGAGUAGAGGUGAUAAACCUACCGAACCUGGUAAUAGCUGGUUGCCCGAGAAUUGAAUAGAAGUUCAGCCUCACAGCUUCUACACUCACCAAGGUAUCACUAUAGACUGACACCCUAAGAAACUGUGAUAGUUAGUCAAAGGGGGUACAGCCCCUUUGAAAUAAGACACAACUUUUCUAGGAGGAUAAAGAUCAUA
rnacentral:rRNA from 1 species